CGUCCUUGUUGGUAUCGCGGCAGCGCGAUGCAGCAGCUUAUUGAUAUAUUCCAUUUCCCGUGGACACGUAGAGUUCACUGUGCGUGUCUAGCGACCAGUUCGUCGUCCACUGAAGCGAAUCAGCUGACGCCUAAGCGAACCUCGCGGAUUUCUUUCAGAAAUUGCGCAACUGUUGCUGUUCGCUGCGACUAAUAAUAAAAUAUAGGGGCAGGGAGCGCGAAGGAUUUUGUUUUGCUGGAUCUUGCGCCAGUCUCGAGCGAGUAUCCAUGCCAAGAACAGUUAUGAGCGAACCGGUGCUCGUCUAGUCGAGGCAAAAACUUGCACGAAGAAUCGUCGACACUGUUAUGUGGUCUCAGCGCGACGCAACAAGUCACCGUGGUAAUUUGCAGGAGACACCCUGGAUAUCUCGACAACCUCCAAGAGGCAUGGCCUUGAUUCGAGGCGGCGCCUCUUAGACAGAAUUCACCGUAUACUGGCCUACUUUGCCUGAUCAAAUUUGGUAUGGUGACUUUUUUCAAGUGGGGACAUCGAUGCCAAAUUUGUCAAGAAACCUCAAGAAGAACACUUUUACACAGGGUACGCCGUGCAAUAUUGACAACUAUUUUUUAAACCGAAAUCGAAAACUUCAUGUGUUCUAAACUAACACCAGGAAAGUUCUACGCCAACGUUGUUUUUCUCUGUAGGAAACAAACGCAUUUAGAAAGUAGAACAUGUAAACCACACAGUAAUUCCGUACGCUAACCGCCGCAUGCGUGCAAGCUUCUAUGUACUUACGCUGGUCUCCUCGUUUCGCGAAAUGCAAUAUUGUUCUAUGAAUGUUAAUUAAAUUUUGUACGCAGAAUUCUCCUUAUGAUAUAAUAGAAUUAUUUUACCAUUUUUCGGAAAGCAAGAAUCAAACUUGACACUCAUCAAAUUUAUCUAAAUUGUGAGAUCCACGCGUUUACUGAAUAUAUUCAGUUGAUGUGCUCGUAGUGCAUAACGUCGUACAUAUGCUAGCGUUUCGGUGUGGCAAUUAACGCGCUAAUGACUGUUUUAUCCCUGCAUAGCAAUUAAGGCGCCUUUCAAACGCACGAAACUGAUUGACAUCAUACUGUAAACAGCCGAACGCGAAUACCGUAUGUAAGUGAACAAGUGCAACGAAACCAGGGAUGGAUCUACCAUAAAACUAUAAGAUACUAUUCGAAUGACGAUUUGACUCCUUUGGUAGGGUUGAACAAUUUCAUAAUAAUAAUUUUCUUUUCGUAAUUCUCAUUUCAGAAAAGGAAAGAGCUCGAUAUAAUUAGCUCCCAUGCCUUGAUUAGUCUAGAUCCGUCACUGAGCGAAACAAAGGAGCAGGCGUGCAUUGUUUACCUACGACAUUUUUCAAACGCGAAAAGCAGCUGGUAACAAAAGAAGCUCAUCCCACACUCUCGUAAGCGUACCACGAGUAACUUCGAUUAUGGACUCGCGGGCAAUCGAUCGAAGUACCAACACCCACGCAGUCUGUUCGUCUCCACGAUAGAUUCCCCAGAAAGACCACGGCACUCACCGAAGGUGACGAUCAACGGAAGAUAUCUCUGGCAGAAAUUCUAAUAUUAGCGCAGCGCAUUCUCCAGUCGAUACUCUAGACAUCCACCACUACCACUGGCUGGCACGCGCGACAGAGACGGAAUAUAAGUGUGAGUAUGCGUGUGUGCACGCGACGAAGCUUGCGCUACUGGGAAAACGCUGCACGGCGUCUCACCUCACCUUUGGAAAGAACGAUUUCGCAAUCCCGUGACCAGGCGUCGCGGUUAGACGGCGUCGAACGUGAACCGUAAAUCUAUGCCGCAAAGUAAGACAACCGGCAAUGUGAGAGUCAUCGCCACCGUUCUGCUACGAUAAUACGCGUACUAACACUUGCUAUGCCCUACUGUUCUAACGCCGAACCGCGCACACGCCGCACAGGGCAUUAUGCUACGGAGAUCACCAACUAUGGAAGUGGUGGGAUACGACGAUUCGAGGCACGUCAGAGGUGCGACCGGCGUGGCGCUAUCUGGAGUGACACGUGGAUACUCGUUAAUCUCAGGCUCGAAUACUCUGCUGGUAAAUUGAGCUUCGAUCGAGAGAAAUUGAAUUUUAAUCCGUUCGUAUCCGAGAGCAUUUGGUAUGAAGUAAUGGUGUACAAAGCUUGAGCCUUAGGGAUCUUUAGCUCAAACUAUAUUUGGCUUCUGAAAUUAAUUCUAUCAUUAGUGAACGCUACUAGAGUCCCAACUGUAUCUACUUUGAUGUGAGAAAUCGUAAAAUUGUCAUAAACAGAUUGCACAUAGGCUAUAUAUUACUGCUUUAAAACCGUAAUUGGAUUAAAUCACGCGGUAGGAGGCCGAGGCUCAACCUUCAAAGCUGAGUCCUCAAAGCUUGCGUAUAAUGCUAGUCUUCAAGGCUAGUGGGUUAUAGUAUUUGUGGCUUGAAACUUGGCUCGAGCUUCCCAGUCCAUCUCAACACAUUGUCAACAGGGGUCAUUGACAAUAGAGGUAUUUAAAACACCUGAAAACUGUAUGUAUAAAAUUAAUAUAAAUUUCUACUUUUCAGAUUAAAAGCAACUAUUCUUUAUGCGUGAAAGUUGUGUAGAACAUAUCUGUACAAUAUCUGAAUUAAAGAUAUAAAACUACUACACAGUUUUAGACGAGUAUCUUUAAUGAAAACUUUUAGUUACGUUAAUUUCGAUUUUAUGUAGAUGUAAUGCCAUUACUUCUAACGAUAUGUAUCCUGUAAAUAGUGAAUAAUGAAUAUAUUUUUCAAGUU